AGUGUGAAGGGAAGGCUAAGGACGCAUCGGUGCUGGAGAGUUGAGAAUAUGCCUUCCCCUCCACCCCCAACCCAGUCACCUUAUUUGAAAAAAAAUUAAAAAACACCUUUUAUUUAAAAACCUAACCCUGGAAGUUUGCUCGCUGACAUCAGGGGAGCAACGUGAACACAGGAAAAUGGAAAUCAACAUUUGAAACUUUUAAAUGGAAGCUUUAUUGGGGUUCCACAUAUGGAAAACUGCAAAUAGCAGAAGUAUGUGACUCAAUAAAUUAUUCUGGAGUGACCACAUCCUCUAACUGCCUCCCAGGACAAGACGGAGAAUGUGAACAAUGCUCCUGAAGGCCCCUUUCCCUCAAAGGUAACCACUGGCCUGACUUCUGACACCAUACAUUUGUUUUGCUUUUUUGAACUUCAUGUAAAUGGAAUCAUAUGAAUCACUGCAAUUGAAGGAAAAAUGCUCCAUGUCCCCUCUGCCAGUUGGUGUUUAUCAAAGGACAACGGAGGAAGAGAGACAAAGUGCCUGGAUGUGUGUGUUAAUCAAGAGUUGUCAGGACCCUGCCUCUAAAAGAAAGCGCUAAAAUGAUGCUUUUGACAAGACUUUUCUCAAAGUGGAUGCAGUCUAAGGGUUGGAAAACAAGGCCCAAUCAGGCUAGGUCUGACUUGUCGCCUGCUUUUGUAAAUAAAGUUUUAUUGGCUCACAGACA
rnacentral:lncRNA from 1 species